rnacentral:lncRNA from 1 species
UCACACCAAAUGGGGGUGCAGCUCAGAAGAUGCCCAGCUUAUCCAACCCCCCUUCAAGCAAAAGAUUCAAUGAAGGCCAGCAUUGUUUAGUCUGCAUAAACAGAGGCCAGACCUGUGAAGCCAGGAAGACAAAAAGCCCGCCCUCUAGCGGUCACACUGGGCAGCGCUCAUCACUCCCGGGAGCACCAACAGGAAGGCGGGAGCGUGAGGGCUAAAAUACACCUUGGUGACCAGGCUUUUAUUUCAGUCAAUGGUGGUUAAACUGCAUUUUGUGAAGUUUGAAAAACUGCAGUUUGGGGAAGCAAGACUGAUCUGUAUCGCUAGGAUGAAGAUGGAGGCAUUUUAACCUGGCCCUGUUCCUGGACCCCGUCCACAUUUUCCUGGGGGUUGCAUUGCACCUUUCGUUCUCUGCUUCACUAAGGCAGUGGCAGCACAAUAUUUCUGUGCAGGCCUAUUCAAAUGCUUAGUCCUGUAGAGAUGCAAACUAGGAGGCCUUCUACACUGAGGCUAUGCUAUACAAUAGCAGACCUGCUCACUUUAGCAGUACAAUAGUGGGCCGGAGUUCCUGGGUGAUCCUGUUUACUGAAACUGGAGGCUGGACAUUAAGACAUUCCAUAAUGGAACUAUUUUGGUCCCUAACAAGAGACACAAGUGGAAGAGGACAGUGUGACAGUCAAGUCUUCUGUGCUUGCCUACGCAUGUGGGGAAAGAAAUGAAAGCCUAAUUAACUGAAGAACAAGAUUGAUGUGAGCGAUUACUAACAGAGAUCUCCUCGAACACAGCAUGAAAGGAGAGACAGGAUGGUUUCUGAUGAAGGGAAUUGCAAAGGACUCUCCAAGUCUGACUUCAG